GAUGAACGCUAGCUACAGGCUUAACACAUGCAAGUCGAGGGGAAACGACAUCGAAAGCUUGCUUUUGAUGGGCGUCGACCGGCGCACGGGUGAGUAACGCGUAUCCAACCUGCCCACCACUUGGGGAUAACCUUGCGAAAGUAAGACUAAUACCCAAUGAUAUCCCACGAAGGCAUCCGAAUGGGAUUAAAGAUUUAUCGGUGAUGGAUGGGGAUGCGUCUGAUUAGCUUGUUGGCGGGGUAACGGCCCACCAAGGCUACGAUCAGUAGGGGUUCUGAGAGGAAGGUCCCCCCACAUUGGAACUGAGACACGGUCCAAACUCCUACGGGAGGCAGCAGUGGGGAAUAUUGGGCAAUGGGGCGCAAGCCUGACCCAGCAACGCCGCGUGAAGGAAGAAGGCUUUCGGGUUGUAAACUUCUUUUAAGAGGAAGAGCAGAAGACGGUACCUCUAGAAUAAGCCACGGCUAACUACGUG
rnacentral:rRNA from 1 species